rnacentral:rRNA from 1 species
AGCGAACGCUGGCGGCAGGCCUAACACCUGCAAGUCGAACGAACCCUUCGGGGUUAGUGGCGGACGGGUGAGUAACACGUGGGAACGUGCCUUUAGGUUCGGAAUAACUCAGGGAAACUUGUGCUAAUACCGAAUGUGCCCUUCGGGGGAAAGAUUUAUCGCCUUUAGAGCGGCCCGCGUCUGAUUAGCUAGUUGGUGAGGUAAUGGCUCACCAAGGCUACGAUCAGUAGCUGGUCUGAGAGGAUGACCAGCCACAUUGGGACUGAGACACGGCCCAAACUCCUACGGGAGGCAGCAGUGGGGAAUCUUGCGCAAUGGGCGAAAGCCUGACGCAGCCAUGCCGCGUGGAUGAUGAAGGUCUUAGGAUUGUAAAAUCCUUUCACCGGUGAAGAUAAUGACUGUAGCCGGAGAAGAAGCCCCGGCUAACUUCGUGCCAGCCGCCGCGUAAGAC